rnacentral:rRNA from 1 species
GAAUAAGCGGGGGACGAACAAUCCGGAAACCGGGUAGGCUAAUACCGCAUAGGAAGUUUGUUCGCAUGAACAAACUUAGAAAGAUGGCUCUGCUAUCACUUAUCGAUGGCCUUGCGGUGCAUUAACUAGUUGGCGAGGUAACGGCUCACCAAGGUGAUGAUGCAUAGCCGACCUGAGAGGGUAAUCGGCCACAUUGGGACUGAGACACGGCCCAAACUCCUACGGGAGGCAGCAGCG